AGCAGCUGACGAGUCCUAAACAGGACGAAACGCGCGUCCUGGAU
rnacentral:hammerhead_ribozyme from 1 species